AUGUGGAGCCAAAAAUAUUCACUAGGCGACACGUGGACUUUUGGACAAAAGAGGACAAAAAUACCCUCGAGGCAUACCGGGUUUCCUACACGCGAGCAGUAGAGAAUCAUUUUUUCAACCAAGUCAAAAGUGCCCAAAAUAGGUAUCAACUUAAAACCUAAUUUAUUCAUAUAUUUCCCAUUUCAUUAUUUAGCUAAUCAAUUAGCUAAAUAAUAUACUUAUUCCUUUCAUAUUUCAUAAAAUCAUAAUAAUUGACUAAUUAAGGGAUUAAUUACCUAAUCAAUCCCUUAAUUGUCAAUUUGAAACAUCCACUCAAACCUAAAAACACAAGAGGGCCGGCUAUCCCAUUGAAAAACCUAAUCCAUUACCUUUUUUCUACCUUUUCCCACCAUUUCUUCCUUUUUAUUAGCCAAUUAUACAAAAAACCACCAAAACAUUCAUUUUAUGUUUAAUAGCCAAAUAAAUUGGCUAAUUAAACCUAAAAACCCUAGCCACCUCCUAUCCCUAUAAAUAUACUCCCAUUCUCACCAAAAAGCUAAUUCCAACACUUUGGCAAAAAUCCCAAAAUUCUCUAAACACUCUUUCUCUCUAAAUUCUAACUUUGGCAUCGGAGGUUCUUCGGCCAAAGCCCCCCCCCAUUCAUCGUGGGCGCGUGAGGCUCUUGGUCUUAACCUAAGGUGUUAAUUGUUUUGUAGGUGCAAAAUCGUCCAAGAUCGAGGAGGAAGAAAUUUGCAUCCACAAAUUGGUGCUUUCAUUGAGAGUUGAAAUCCAUACUCGUAGAAGACUCUCGCACAAAAAAGAAUUUUUUACUUGCAAAGGUUCUUUGAUAAAACGUAUAAGCAAAAUAUAAUGGCUAGAAAUUUAGAAAAUUCCACAAGUGCAAAAUCGUCCAAGAUCAAGGAGGAAGAAAUUUGCAUCCACACACUACAUCCAAGAAAGAAAUAA
rnacentral:sRNA from 1 species